rnacentral:rRNA from 1 species
GAUGAACGCUGGCGGCGUGCUUAACACAUGCAAGUCGAACGAUGAAGCCCAGCUUGCUGGGUGGAUUAGUGGCGAACGGGUGAGUAACACGUGAGUAACCUGCCCUUAACUCUGUGAUAAGCCUGGGAAACUGGGUCUAAUACCGGAUAGGAGCGUCCACCGCAUGGUGGGUGUUGGAGAGAUUUAUCGGUUUUGGAUGGACUCGCGGCCUAUCAGCUUGUUGGUGAGGUAAUGGCUCACCAAGGCGACGACGGGUAGCCGGCCUGAGAGGGUGACCGGCCACACUGGGACUGAGACAGGGACCAGACUCCUACGGGAAGCAGCAGUGGGGAAUAUUGCACAAUGGGCGCAAGCCUGAUGCAGCGACGCCGCGUGAGGGAUGACGGCCUUCGGGUUGUAAACCUCUUUCAGUAGGGAAGAAGCGAAAGUGACGGUACCUGCAGAAGAAGCACCGGCUAACUACGUG